UCAUCUGAUACUGGGAAACAUGGGUCCUGUGGAUCCCCACAAAUUCAUUGUGAUGACUUGUAAAAGAAGGGCACAGUGCAGGCUGGAGUAGGGCAAUGCUAGUUUCUGUUCAUAUGUUACUAAAAUGCAUCCCUGCUGCUGUGUGAUUGUAGGGGUGCAUUACAGGGUAUGAAAUAAGGGAAAAGAAUGCAACAAACCAUGGCCUUAAUCCAGCCAAAGCCUCACUCUUCUCAACAGCAGCAAUUUUCAUUUGCACUUUUCAUUAUACUCAUCUGAUAUAUUCUAAAAAUAUUUCAUAUCAAGUCAAUGAAAUCUGCCCUGAAGACACCUUCAACAGGUACUCUCUUGAGGGUGCCCCAUUUCAAAGUGUCCAUGAUUUUUCUGUAUGAUCUUAAACUAAGGAAUCACAUCUUUCUUUGUUUUUCUUUUGUUGCCUGUGCCUUGAAUGGUUGUUAAAGAUAAGUUUCGUUCUUGGCUUUUUGCAGUUAGAGAGAUUAGUGAUCAAAUAUUUUAAUGAAGUAGAAAAAUAUCCUUAGAUUGAAAUUUUUUUUUUCCUUUUUAUGGUUUGGUGGAGGGUCUGGAUAAGUCAAAGUAGUUAUUUAUUAUUUGUACAUCACCAGCAGCAUGCUGGAUGCUUUAACAUACCAUAGUAAGUUUAUUAUUUUGUGUAGACUUGGAAGUUACUGACCCAGUUGUGGAAUUGGGUCUCGGUUGCAUCUUACUGAAGCGUUGGAUGGUGUGCAAUAGGAUGGAGACGUACACUGGUGUAGCAGUUUCUUCGUACUGCAUGUUGCAGAGGGCAGCCUUGAGCAGAGGGAAGGGGGGAAGAGUCUAGUAGUACCUGUCCCUUUCUGAAAAAAAAAAAAUCUGGGAAUCGCACCCUUUUGCCUUCUGGGAUAUUCAAACUUCUUUAUUAAAUCCCAUCUCUUUCCAACAAUUCUUCCAGCAACACACCCUCCUAAAUCAAAGGAAGAAACCAUUCAUAACUCCUCGUGAGUGAGCACCAGAAUAGUAGCCCAUGUGGCUUUCCACAAGCACUUUAAAUUAAUUUCUCAGGGGCCAUUUAACAUGUUGGAUGACAGUAGUACAAUAAUCCUGGGAGCCAAGAUGCUCCUACCUCUUAAAGAAGUGCUAGGGGUUGAGCUUUGUGUAAUGGCUGUAGAGUCGGUUUUGUGCUGUUUCAGGACCUGAGCAUCGUUGUGGCUUGUGACUGGAUGAGCUCUCGCCAAGAACUCGAUCGUAUCAGGAAGGGUCCGUUCUUCGAAGAAAAGAUGGCUCUGAUUUGAAACGGCAGUGGAGAGAAUAAUUGGUGCCACCUCUGAAAUUUUGUUUUCUCUCAGUUCCUUUGUUGAACUAAUGUGGCCAAGAGUCGUGAUGCUUACACAUGGGUUAAACAUUGGAUUUGCUUUGGGUAUUCAGUGGGAUUCUGGCACUGUUAUGAUAAUAUGCUGCUUUAUGUAUGCUUCUAAUAGUUGUUUCAAGACCUGGGUAGUACCAGAAGGUGUCUGCAAAUAACAAGAAAUUGGAGAUGUGGGAGGGAUUGAGAAACUCCUGCAACAAAGGCGGGGCUGGGAUGAGUUUGCCCAGGCUGGAGGUGGUGGUGAAGAAAAGGGAUUUAAAAUGGAACUUUUGGAGACCUGAAUCCUGGCAAGAUGCACAGUACAGGGUGAGGCACAGGCUUUCAUACAAGGCAGAUUGGCACAAGAGCAAAUUUGCAGAGCAAAUUUCUGUUCCCACCUGUAUCACUCACUUUGUGCACAAGGGGUUUGACUCUGUAUCACUGGGAAUCUUUCCAUUGGCUCUACUGGGCUUUGAAUCGGAGUGAUGUGCAUCACAAGAAGCUCUAAAGCAUGAGUUUCUGCAAGAUCAAGGCCUAAAAAUUCUCUUUUUCACAUCCAGGAACCGCUGUCACCUUUAACGCAAGAAUAAAUUUGUAAUGUUCCUGAUAGAGAAUGAAAUGGGUAGAAAACUUAUCUGGUUCCUUCUUGCUGGGAAGCUCAUGGCCAGCCCAGCUGCUCUCUCAAUACUUUGCAUUCCCAAUCCCUGCAAGCACACGGCAGGUAAGAGACACCCUGACUGUAAAUGGGAAGACCUGUUCAGACUGGAUUGUCUUGAGUGCUGUCCGUGGUCCUGAUGUAAAAAGCAACGCCCUGCACUUAAGUGCUUGAGUGAAGAGCUCCAGUGUGCACAACAAGGACCAAUGUGGGAGUACGUUAUCCCUGUGGAUUGUCAAGCAGUUGUAUGCAAAUUUGCUUUCCUGCUUUACUUCGGCAGCCUCUUUGUCUCCCACCCCCAGUGCAGCCUUCCCCAAGUGAAGCAUGUUCCUGGCUGUUAUGAAGAGCCCCCACCACCUACAGAGUUGAUGUUUCUC